CCCCUCUCAGGGUUGCACCUGGAGUGUUUCCAGUACUCUACCAGCCUUGACUACAGGAGGGAGAGUCAAGCAGAAUAAUCUUCAUUCCAUUCCUAGCUAGGCCAGUGGCUAACGAGUGGAAGGCAAUCUGCUAUAAUU